rnacentral:rRNA from 1 species
UGGGGAAUCUUGCGCAAUGGGCGAAAGCCUGACGCAGCGACGCCGCGUGAGGGAAGAAGGCCUUCGGGUUGUAAACCUCUUUCCGGAGGGACGAAGCCACUCGGGUGAAUAGCCCAGAGGGUGACGGUACCUCCAGAAGAAGCCCCGGCUAACUACGUGCCAGCAGCCGCGGUAAUACGUAGGGGGCAAGCGUUGUCCGGAUUUAUUGGGCGUAAAGAGCGUGUAGGCGGCUUUACAGGUCCGCUGUGAAAACUCGAGGCUCAACCUCGAGCUGUCGGUGGAAACCGUAAAGCUAGAGUCCGGAAGAGGAGAGUGGAAUUCCCGGUGUAGCGGUGAAAUGCGCAGAUAUCGGGAAGAACACCCGUGGCGAAGGCGGCUCUCUGGGACGGUACUGACGCUGAGACGCGAAAGCGUGGGGAGCGAAC